AGUGAACGCUGGCGGUAGGCCUAACACAUGCAAGUCGAACGGCAGCACAGUAAGAGCUUGCUCUUACGGGUGGCGAGUGGCGGACGGGUGAGGAAUACAUCGGAAUCUACUUUUUCGUGGGGGAUAACGUAGGGAAACUUACGCUAAUACCGCAUACGACCUACGGGUGAAAGCAGGGGAUCUUCGGACCUUGCGCGAUUGAAUGAGCCGAUGUCGGAUUAGCUAGUUGGCGGGGUAAAGGCCCACCAAGGCGACGAUCCGUAGCUGGUCUGAGAGGAUGAUCAGCCACACUGGAACUGAGACACGGUCCAGACUCCUACGGGAGGCAGCAGUGGGGAAUAUUGGACAAUGGGCGCAAGCCUGAUCCAGCCAUACCGCGUGGGUGAAGAAGGCCUUCGGGUUGUAAAGCCCUUUUGUUGGGAAAGAAAAGCAGCAGGUUAAUACCCGGCUGUUCUGACGGUACCCAAAGAAUAAGCACCGGCUAACUUCGU
rnacentral:rRNA from 1 species